GGACUACCAAGGCUAUGACGGGUAUCUGGUGUGAGAGCAUGACCAGACACAAUGGAACUGAGACACGGUCCAUACUCCUACGGGAGGCAGCAGUGGGGAAUCUUCCGCAAUGGGCGAAAGCCUGACGGAGCGACACCGCGUGGAGGAAGAAGGCCUUUGGUUGUAAACUCCUUUUCUGGGGGAAUAAAUGAUGAAGGUACUCCAGGAAUAAGCACCGGCUAACUACGUGCCAGCAGCCGCGGUAAUACGUAGGGUGCAAGCGUUAUCCGGAAUUAUUGGGCGUAAAGCGUUCGUAGGUGGUUAAACAAGUUUGUAGUUAAAUCUGGUCGCUCAACGAUCAACAUGCUACAAAUACUAUUUAACUAGAGAUUGGCAGGGGCAACUGGAAUUCCGCAUGUAGGGGUAAAAUCCGUUGAUAUGCGGAGGAACACCAAAAGCGAAGGCAGGUUACUGGGCCAUUUCUGACGCUGAGGAACGAAAGCGUGGGUAGCGAACAGGAUUAGAUACCCUGGUAGUCCACGCCGUAAACGAUGGAUACUCGAUGUAGUGAGGAAUCGACCCCUUGCUGUGUCCAAGCUAACGCGUUAAGUAUCCCGCCUGGGGACUACGGUCGCAAGAUUAAAACUCAAAGGAAUAGACGGGGACCCACACAAGCGGUGGAGCAUGUGGUUUAAUUCGACAAUAAACGGGGAACCUUACCAAGGCUUGACAUCUCCGGAAGCUUUUGGAAACAAAAGUGUGCCGUAAGGAACUGGAUGACAGGUGCUGCAUGGUCGUCGUCAGCUCGUGCCUUGAGGUGUUCGGUUAAGUCCGUAAACGAGCGCAACCCAUGUCCUAUGUUAAUUUUUCAUAGGAGACUGCCGGCUCCAAGUCGGAGGAAGGUAUGGAUGACGUCAGAUCAGCAUGGCCCUUAUGCCUUGGGCUACACACGUGCUACAAUGGCCGGUACAAUGAGCAGCGAACCCGUAAGGGGAAGCCAAUCUCAUCAAAGCCGGUCUCAGUUCGGAUAGGGGGCUGCAAUUCGACCCCUUGAAGCUGGAAUCGCUAGUAACCGCAAAUCAGCUAUGUUGCGGUGAAUAUGUUCCUGGGUCUUGUACUCACCGCCCGUCAUAUCAUGAAAGGUGGGAGUGCCCGAAGUCGCCUUAGCCCCUCGGGGCGGGUGCCUAAGGUAAAUCCACUGAUUGGGAUAAAGUCGAAACAAGGUAUCUGUAGGAGACCUGCGGAUG
rnacentral:rRNA from 1 species